UAGGGAAUCUUCGGCAAUGGGCGAAAGCCUGACCGAGCAACGCCGCGUGAGCGAUGAAGGCCUUCGGGUCGUAAAGCUCUGUUGUUAGAGAAGAACAAGUACGAGAGUAACUGCUCGUACCUUGACGGUACCUAACCAGAAAGCCACGGCUAACUACGUGCCAGCAGCCGCGGUAAUACGUAGGUGGCAAGCGUUAUCCGGAAUUAUUGGGCGUAAAGCGCGCGCAGGCGGUCUCUUAAGUCUGAUGUGAAAGCCCACGGCUCAACCGUGGAGGGUCAUUGGAAACUGGGAGACUUGAGUGCAGGAGAGAAAAGUGGAAUUCCACGUGUAGCGGUGAAAUGCGUAGAGAUGUGGAGGAACACCAGUGGCGAAGGCGGCUUUUUGGCCUGUAACUGACGCUGAGGCGCGAAAGCGUGGGGAGCAAACAGGAUUAGAUACCCUGGUAGUCCACGCCGUAAACGUUGGGCACUA
rnacentral:rRNA from 1 species